rnacentral:tRNA from 1 species
GGACCUGUAGCUCAAUUGGUUAGAGCAGGCCGCUCAUAACGGCUCGGUUCGGGGUUCAAGUCCCUGCGGGUCCA